rnacentral:rRNA from 1 species
UAACGGCUGACCAGCAACUGGAAGAAUGUAUAGCGAUGCUAAUUGUUCAUUCCACAAAAAAUGAAGCAAUCUCGAUAUGAUCGAAUAAAAUUCUGGGUAAAAUUAUGAUAAUGACAUUGUUUACUUAUGAGUCUUGACCAAAUUACGUGCCAGCAGUCGCGGUAAUACGUAGAAGACUAGUGUUAUUCAUCUUUAAUAGGUUUAAAGGGUACCUAGACGGCAUAUUAAACCUUAUGUGGAACUGGUAUGCUAGAGUUACUUAUGAGGAAGUUUUAAAGUACUAGAGGUGUAGAGAUAAAAUUCAGUUAUACCUUUUUCUAACGAAAAACAUCGGCACAGAUAUAGGUGAAAACAUCUUCUUAUGGGAUAACUGACGUUGAGGGACGAAGGCUUUUUAUAGCGAACAGGAUUAGAUACCCUGGUAGUCAGAGCAGAAAACGAUGAGUGUCAUAGAUUAGAUAAGUAUUUAUUCUAUAAAUGAAAAUGUAAACACUCCACCUCAAGAGUAAUUUGGCAACAUUGGAACUGAAAUCAUUAGACCGUGUCUGAAACCAGUAGUGAAGUAUGUUGUUUAAUUUGAUAAUCCGCAAUAAACCUUACCACAGCUUGAAUAUCUAUUUACUUACUUUUAUUACAUGACUUGUGAGCAAUGUUAUGUAUAACUACGAAUGCUUUUUAUACAAUCGUGUCAAUAGAUGAAAUAAUAUAGGUACAAGUGUUGCACGGCUGUCUUAAGUUAAUGUUGUAAGACUUUGGUUAGCUCCAGU